GUUUGGGGCUCUUACCAUGCAGUCGCACGAGAACGCCUCAGCUUGCUGAGGCAAGUAAAGUGGCGCACGGGUGAGUAACGCGUGGGUAAUCUACCUCCGAAUUGGGGAUAACAUUGCGAAAGCGAUGCUAAUACCGAAUAAUAUCCCUGAGACCCCGGUCUUGGUGAUCAAAGGUGGCCUCUACAUGUAAGCUACCGUUUGGAAAUGAACCCGCGUACCAUUAGCUAGUUGGUAGGGUAACGGCCUACCAAGGCUGCGAUGGUUAGCUGGUCUGAGAGGAUGAUCAGCCACACUGGAACUGACACACGGUCCAGACUCCUACGGGAGGCAGCAGUGAGGAAUUUUGCGCAAUGGGGGAAACCCUGACGCAGCAACGCCGCGUGAGUGAUGAAGGCCUUCGGGUCGUAAAGCUCUGUCAAGUGGGAAGAACCUGCUCUGUGAUAACACCACGGGGCACCGACGGUACCACUGAAGGAAGCACCGGCUAACUCCGUGCCAGCAGCCGCGGUAAUACGGGGGGUGCUAGCGUUAUUCGGAAUCAUUGGGCGUAAAGGGCGCGUAGGCGGUCUUUUAAGUCAGAUGUGAAAGCCCUCGGCUUAACCGAGGAAGUGCAUUUGAUACUAAGAGACUUGAGUAUGGGAGAGGGAAGCGGAAUUCCUGGUGUAGCGGUGAAAUGCGUAGAUAUCAGGAGGAACACCGGUGGCGAAGGCGGCUUCCUGGACCAAUACUGACGCUGAGGCGCGAAGGCGUGGGGAGCAAACAGGAUUAGAUACCCUGGUAGUCCACGCAGUAAACGGUGAACACUAUGUGUAGCGGGUAUUGACCCCUGCUGUGCCGAAGCUAACGCAUUAAGUGUUCCGCCUGGGAAGUACGGCCGCAAGGUUAAAACUCAAAGGAAUUGACGG
rnacentral:rRNA from 1 species